AUACGUAGGUGGCAAGCGUUGUCCGGAAUUAUUGGGCGUAAAGCGCGCGCAGGCGGGACUUUAAGUCUACUUUAAAAGUGCGGGGCUCAACCCCGUGAUGGGGUGGAAACUAAAGUUCUUGAGUGUCGGAGAGGAAAGUGGAAUUCCCAGUGUAGCGGUGAAAUGCGUAGAGAUUGGGAGGAACACCAGUGGCGAAGGCGACUUUCUGGACGAUGUCUGACGCUGAGGCGCGAAAGCCAGGGGAGUGAACGGGAUUAGAUACCCCGGUAAUCCUGGCCGUAAACGAUGGGUACUAGGUGUAGGAGGUAUCGACCCCUUCUGUGCCGGAGUUAACGCAAUAAGUACCCCGCCUGGGGAGUACGGCCGCAAGGUUGA
rnacentral:rRNA from 1 species